CAGGCUUCACUGCCUGGGAAAUCUGUGCUAGUUUACUAUUUCCAACCUGGUAGCUAGCUAGCCAGCCUGGUCAGAAUGGACAAAGGCAGCACAUCUCAGAAUCUUGUUACGACAAUACGAGGCAAAUGUGAAUGGAGUACAUCGUUAUGUGUAAGAUAAGACGUUAACAUGACAAGGGUGAGAUGAAAGAUACUAAGGGCUAGCCAGACUAGAAUAAAAGUUAACUAGGCCUACCACGAAAAGUUCAUUCAUAAACGUUUUGACGGUCUUUCGAAUGGUUAUCGGAUGGUGUGCUUGCUUGCUUAAAUAUCAUAAAGUUCGCCACAAAGUGAUCACGAAAUGAUCUCCGUAUUAAUAACAGUUUCGUGGUUUGUUACUCGUUUGAAUAAACGUAUAGUUUUGACAUCCCUUUCAAAUGACACGCGGAAGUUUUGAAUAUUUGUUGUACCACGAGCUAUCACGAAAUUAUGCUGGGCCAAAAGGUGUUUAUACAGUAGUUUCUUCCUGUGCUGCGUUGUGCACGUCUGUUUCAUCAUCUGAGCUAUCAGUUGUGUUUCUUUGAAGCAAAGAUGUAUAGAAUAGCACUGAAAGUCGGAGGUGUCAUAUUUGUUCAACCUGGUGUUAAACGUAAUUUCAAUUCUUGACCAGUGCAUGUAAAGAAAUUGAAAAUAAAACCGACUUGACUUGUCAUUGGGUCUGAUUUUAAAUGUGCCAUAUAGUUCAAUGUGGGAGCAGGUUCACACACUAAAUAAGACACUAAGGUCAAGCACAAGCAGAUUAAAAAAAAAUAAAAAAUUCUCAGAGCAGAUUAGAGCAGACGUUUCAGGUUGCUGCCAUCAGAGAGUAUUGACUUGACCUUAGUGUCUUUAGUGUGCUCCCACAUUGAGCUCUACUUUUUGGGUCCAUGCACCUACUUAUUUCUAAACAUCUAGAGCGCAACAAUACCCCUGCCUCCUGAUAUGCCAUAUAACCUGUAUCUCUCCAAGUGUGUGUGUGUGUGUGUGUGUGUGUGUGUGUGUGUGUGUGUGUGUGUGUGAGAGAGAAUGUGUGCACGCAGAUAUAAGAAGUUGGGGUUGAUGAUCCACAUGAUGGUGAUGGACCAGGACAGCUCUGGACCUCCUGACUGGCAGCUCCAUCCUCAACCUCUCUUCCUGCCCUUCACACGUGUGCAGGCAGCCAGUUUUCUGAAAGAUGGUUGAUGUCAGUACCAACAUGUUGUGAUGGAGGCUUCCACCUGAGCUGAACACAGAAACUUGCACACAGUGUUGGAAGCAGUCGUUCCUGCUCAGCAUCGAUAUGCCAGUAAUGGGUUUGAUGAGCCACAGCAUGGUGAUGGGCAAUCAGCAUCAGGACCAGGGCAGCUCACAAGGAGAACCUCCUGCCCUGCCUCGUCAUCCUCAACCUCCCAUCUCCCUGCUCUUCACACAUGUGCAGGCACGGAGCCAGUUUUCAGAGGGAGGGCUGAUGACACCAGCAACUUUGGUGAACCUGAUCAACCCAGCACCAACCACUGUGCCCCUCCUCCUCUGCCAACUGCACCACAUGGCUCCACCAUCUCAAAAAGGCACAGACACUACUCCUACUACUUCCUGCGAAGGAUGAGAGAAGAGCCGACCGCCCCACAUCGGCACUCACCACCUUCUACAGGGGUGUCAUUGAGAGCAUCCUGACCAGCAGCCUCUCUGUCUGGCAGCCGUCAAGCUGAAGACUAGAAGGCAGUACAGAGAGUGUGGUGAGAACGGCAGAAAAGCUCAUAAGAUCACCCCUACCAGCCAUUCAGGAUCUGUACAC